CGCGGGAUGGAGCAGCUAGGUAGCUCGUCGGGCUCAUAACCCGAAGGUCGUAGGGUUCAAAUCCUGCUCCGCAA
rnacentral:tRNA from 1 species